GCUGAUUUAGCUCAGUUGGUAGAGCACAUCCUUGGUAAGGAUGAGGUCACCAGUUCAAAUCUGGUAAUCAGCU
rfam:Ruminococcus sp. CAG:353 genomic scaffold, scf272